GUUUUCAUUAAUCAAGAACGAAAGUUAGGGGAUCGAAGACGAUCAGAUACCGUCGUAGUCUAACCAUAAACUAUGCCAACUAGAGAUUGGAGGUUGUUCCUUACUCC
rnacentral:rRNA from 1 species